UCAGAGGGAUCAACUAGCCAUCAUAUAACUUCCACCAUUGAGAGCAAUCACUAUAGGUCAUUCUUAGGAUUGCUUGAUCCAGACCCCAUUGAAAUUAGCGAUGAUGACAACGAUGAGGUGCAGACAGCUAUUCAAAAUAGCAUGGGCUUAGCAAACGAUUCAAGCGCGCAACAAAUGGUUAGUACUGUUUUGAAUGACCACAUAGAUAAAGUGAUGGUUGGAAAAUCCUGUGACGUAGCCAUAUCUAAAAACAUUAUUAACGUUCGCCGCAAGCAUGUAUUUGAAGACGGUAUUGCCAAGCUAGGAA